rnacentral:rRNA from 1 species
AUACGUAGGGGGCGAGCGUUGUCCGGAAUGAUUGGGCGUAAAGGGCGCGUAGGCGGCGCGGUAAGUCUGGAGUGAAAGUCCUGCUUUCAAGGUGGGAAUUGCUUUGGAUACUGCCGCGCUUGAGUGCAGGAGAGGUUAUCGGAAUUCCCGGUGUAGCGGUGAAAUGCGUAGAGAUCGGGAGGAACACCAGUGGCGAAGGCGGGUAACUGGACUGCAACUGACGCUGAGGCGCGAAAGUGUGGGGAGCAAACAGGAUUAGAUACCCUGGUAGUCCACGCCGUAAACGAUGGGCGCUCGUCGUCGGCGGCAGACAGUCGGCGGCCAAGCGAAAGCGAUAAGCGCCCCACCUGGGGAGUACGGUCGCAAGGCUGAAACUUAAAGGAAUUGGCGGGG